rnacentral:rRNA from 1 species
UACGUAGGGUGCGAGCGUUAAUCGGAAUUACUGGGCGUAAAGCGUGCGCAGGCGAUUUGGUAAGACAGGCGUGAAAAUCCCCGGGCGUCAACCUGGGAACGUAGCGCUUGUGGCUGCCUCACUAGAGUACGGCAGAGGGGGGUGGGAAUUCCACCGUGUAGCAGUGAAAUGCGUAGAGAUGUGGAGGAACACCGAUGGCGAAGGCAGCCCCCUGGG